UACGGGGGGGGCAAGCGUUGUUCGGAAUUACUGGGCGUAAAGGGCGCGUAGGCGGCCUACUAAGUCGGACGUGAAAUCCCUCGGCUCAACCGGGGAACUGCGUCCGAUACUGGUGGGCUCGAAUCCGGGAGAGGGAUGUGGAAUUCCAGGUGUAGCGGUGAAAUGCGUAGAUAUCUGGAGGAACACCGGUGGCGAAGGCGGCGUUCUGGACUGUUACUGACACUGAGGAACGAAAGCCAGGGGAGCAAACGGG
rnacentral:rRNA from 1 species